UAGGGAAUCUUCCACAAUGGACGCAAGUCUGAUGGAGCAACGCCGCGUGAGUGAAGAAGGUUUUCGGACCGUAAAGCUCUGUUGUUGGUGAAGAAGGAUAGAGGUAGUAACUGGCCUUUAUUUGACGGUAAUCAACCAGAAAAGUCACGGCUAACUACGUGCCAGCAGCCGCGGUAAUACGUAGGUGGCAAGCGUUGUCCGGAUUUAUUGGGCGUAAAGCGAGCGCAAGGCGGAAGAA
rnacentral:rRNA from 1 species